GAUGAACGCUGGCGGCGUGCCUAAUACAUGCAAGUCGAGCGAAUGGAUUAAGAGCUUGCUCUUAUGAAGUUAGCGGCGGACGGGUGAGUAACACGUGGGUAACCUGCCCAUAAGACUGGGAUAACUCCGGGAAACCGGGGCUAAUACCGGAUAAUAUUUUGAACUGCAUGGUUCAAAAUUGAAAGGCGGCUUCGGCUGUCACUUAUGGAUGGACCCGCGUCGCAUUAGCUAGUUGGUGAGGUAACGGCUCACCAAGGCAACGAUGCGUAGCCGGCCUGAAAGGGGGAUCGGCCACACUGGGACGGAGAAACGGCCCAGACUCCUACGGGAGGCAGCAGUAGGGAAUCUUCCGCAAUGGACGAAAGUCUGACGGAGCAACGCCGCGUGAGUGAUGAAGGCUUUCGGGUCGUAAAACUCUGUUGUUAGGGAAGAACAAGUGCUAGUUGAAUAAGCUGGCACCUUGACGGUACCUAACCAGAAAGCCACGGCUAACUACGUGCCAGCCGCCGCCGUAA
rnacentral:rRNA from 1 species